AGGAGGAGUGGGAGAGGGAGAAGCAGGCUUCCUGUGGAGCAGGGAGCCCGAUGCGGGUCUCGAUCUCAGGACCCUGGGAUCGUGACCUGAGCCGAAGGCAGACUCUUAACAACUGAGUCACCCAGGCACCCCUGAUUGUUAGUGGUUUUAAUGAUUUCUGUGGCUGGUGGCUGGGGUGGGGUAGGUAGUGUGAGGUGAGAAUUGACAAUGAAUAUGACCUCUUCUUUUGAGGAGCUUGGCUGUGGAGAGAGAGCUGUCAAGGGUGGAGGAUGAUUCCCCUCCCCUCUCCCCUUCCCUCUCUUCUUCCUCCCUUCCUUUUUUUAAGGAGGAGAGACUUGCACAUGAGUACAGGAAGAGGGGAGAAAUCCGUGGCAGUGGGCAUAGCAGGACGGGGGGAGGAGACGCUUGAUGGAGCAAGCUUCCCAGGGGGUAGAGUUGAGAGUGUGGGUGGAAGGCCUGGCCCUGAGCACAGGGAGGGCCACCUCCAAGAAGGAGUUAAGGGUGGGGAUGAAUACAGAUAACAGGCGAGGGGGGCAUUAAGGAGAUGGUGCCAACCAUGGAAACCCCUUCAGCCACCAGGAGUUUAUGAGUCUGGUGCCUGGCAGAGGGCGGGUGUGAUGAUGUGUCUUUGCAGCUGAGGAGACACCCUCUUCUGCUCUGAAGACUCCACUGCCUUUUCCUUAACCUGGGACACCCUACUUCUGUUCUGCCUUGUCCUCCUCCAGGAAGCCUUCCCAGAUUGACACCCCCACUCUGCCCCUCCCAGCAGCUGGCUCAGCUCCCCAUUCCUUCCUUGCCCCAGCACAGAGGCCAAGAACUCCCCACUGGUUCAGUAUCUGUCUGUCUGUGCCUGGCCUCUGGAGAGAAAGCACCCAGAAGGGGGAGGGGAGGGGACUAGAACACGUGUGAUUCUGUAAAAUGGGUGGCUUCUCUCUCAAGCCUGCCCCUCCCCGGCUCUCAGGAUGAGCUCUGGCUGGCCACAAGGGGGUGCUUGGCCCGAGAAAGUCUGGCUGCCAUGGUCUGGGCAUCCGGCCCAGUUGGCUGGCUGGCAGCUGGGGCCCCACUCUGGCUGGGACCUUUGCCCCCUACACCGAUGGCCCCGGCCUCCGUUGCCAUGGCUGCCCUUUAGUUUGGGGGUAAACAGGGCUCUUCCUCCUCCUCCUGUCCAGAUACUGAUACGCAAUUGUCUCUCCAGGGUUGGGCUGGAAUUCCAAGUGUGCAGGUACCCCCCGCCCUCAUCUGGGGAAGGCACAAGGUGGCCCCCCUCAGAGUCAGACAAGAGUCAGGCCCUGUUCUCCAGGCACGUCACGAUCAGCGGGGAGAAAAUGGGCUCUCCCAAGCUUGCGUCUGCUGCUGAGGACCGUGGAGGGUUUCGUGGCAGCCUCAUCAUGCUGUGCCCUCAGGGAAGGUGUGUGCUUGUGUGCCCGUGGGAUGAACAGAGGUUGCUCCGGGGAGGGUCUGCACAUUCACUCUGCGACACCCACUCUGGGCUGGUGCCUGCCAGGCAGAGGCUGGCACGGAGGUUGGGUGGGGCUGACCGCCCUUCUCCAUGGGCUGCACACGAGCGAGAUCCGGUCUAGCCCAGAUUGACAGUCUUCUGGUCCUCUGGCCACAGCGACUGGCUCCGGGAUGAGCACGUGACCUAAGCCAGCCCAAUGAGAGUCAGCCUUGCAACUUCCGCCGGAACGAUUGGCCAGAGGCCCCCUUGGUGGCCAUCCUUGCUGCAGCGUGGAGCUGGUGCGCCCCAGAAGGAAGCGAACGCAGAGGAGCACUAGAGAAGUAGAGGAAGACAGUCCUGAUGCCGUCACUGAGCCCCUCGUCACUGAACCCCUCAUUUUGGCUUAUGCCAAAAGUCACAUGCACCCCUGAUCCUCCCAGGUGUGUGAGCAAAUAAAUGAUCUCUUACACUGAGGCCCCUGUGAGUUGGAUCUCAGUCGCUUGCAAUCAGGAGUUGUGAGCAAUAAUGCGUAUCUGUGUGUUGGGGUGUGGAUGAUACGGCUGCUUGUGCAUGGGUGUGUGUGUGGUGUGCAUUUAAGAGUGGUAUGUAUGGGGGCGCCUGGGUGGCUCAGCCGGUGAAGCGUCUGCCUUCGGCUCAGGUCGAGAUCUCAGGGUCCUGGGAUCAAGUCCCACGUCGG